rnacentral:rRNA from 1 species
CCUACGGGUGGCAGCAGUGAGGACUAUUGGUCAAUGGGCGCUAGCCUGACCCAGCCAAGUAGCGUGAAGGAUGACUGCCCUAUGGGUUGUAAACUUCUUUUACAUGGGAAUAAAGUGCAGUAUGUAUACUGCUUUGCAUGUUCCUUAUGAAUAAGGCUCGGCAAAAUCCGUGCCAGCAGCCGCGGUAAUACGGAGGAUUCGAGCGUUUCCGGAUUUAUUGGGGUUAACGGGAGCGUAGGCGGGUGGUUAAGGCAGUUGUGAAAGUGUGCGGCUCAAACGUAAAAUUGCAGUUGAUACUGGCAUCCUUGAGUACAGUAGAGGUAGGCGGAAUGCGUGGUGUAGCGGUGAAAUGCUUAGAUAUCACGAAGAACGCCGAUUGCGAAGGCAGCCUGCUGGACUGUAACUGACGCUGAUGCUCGAAAGUGUGGGUAUCAAACAGGAUUAGAUACCCGGGUAGUC